rnacentral:misc_RNA from 1 species
GAGGCCAUUCAUGAAGGGUAAACUGUACAUUCAUUUCAUCGUGGAAUUCCCGGAUUCGUUGAGCCUGCCACAGGUGCAGCUUCUGGAGGCAAUGUUACCAUCAAGACCUACAUCACAGUACUCUGACAUGGAACUGGAUGAAUGUGAGGAGACCACAUUGCAUGAUGUGAAUAUGGAGGAAGAAAUGAGAAGGAAACAAGCUGCACAACAAGAAGCAUAUGAUGAGGAUGAAGAGAUGUCUGGUGGUGGAGGGCAGAGAGUACAGUGUGCUCAACAGUAGAUGUAGCAAGAUUUACCAGUUUGAACUUUGCUUAUAGUUUAGUUUGGUUUACUGUUUUCUGUUGUUUUGGAAAUGACAUGUUUUGGGAAGUCAAAAAACUGAUGCUUUAGUGAAAUAGAAAUAUAAUUUUCUUGGGG